GACGAACGCUGGCGGCGUGCCUAAUACAUGCAAGUAGAACGCAGUUGCGAACGGGUGAGUAACGCGUAGGUAACUGCCUGGUAGCGGGGGCUAACUAUUGGAAACGAUAGCUAAUACCGCAUACUACCAGAUGGACCUGCGUUGUAUUAGCUAGUUGGUGCGGUAAAGGCUCACCAAGGCAACGAUACAUAGCCGACCUGGGGGGGUGAUCGGCCAACAUGGGACUGAGACAAGGCCCAGACUUCGACGGGAGGCAGGCGUAGGGAAUCUUCGGCAAUUGGGGGAACCCUGACCGAGCAACGCCGCGGGAGUGAAGAAGGUUUUCGGAUCGGAAAGCUCUGUUGUUAAGGAAGCGGUACUUAACCAGAAAGGGACGGCUAACUACGUGCCAGCAGCCGCGGUAAUAC
rnacentral:rRNA from 1 species